rnacentral:misc_RNA from 1 species
UUUUGUUAAAAAUAAAAAUUCAUUAUUUUAAUUGGAUAGAAGAAAAUCGUCUGCCGUCUUCAUUAGGACGCCAUAUUGUUUAACUAAAAUUUAAAGUUUGGAAAGUUGAUUUAGAAAAAUUCGUUCUAUAAGAAACGAAGAAACUAUUGCCAGAAAAAUAACCAAACUAAAACAACCUCAGUGGGACGAUUUGUAAACGCCGAAGGCUUUGAAAAAUCAAUGGUUACAAAUAGUGUGGAUGCGCCAAUGUUUCUCUCGCUUCAGUCUCCUGGAUUCUAUCGCCAGUCAUGGUAUGACGUUCACACGUACAGGCAUGAUGAGCUUUCAGUGAGCUUAAUGCAAGUUUAUCAAAGGAGAUAAAGCAAAAUCAUACAUUUUGUUUACAUUUUUAAAAAGUUAUCUUGAUUAAUUUGUCUAACAAUUAAUUCAAUGCGUAAUGGAAUCGUAAAUGAUCUGAGAAGAAUGGAUAAACAAAAUAAAACUGAUGAAAGACACUCCGUCCAGAAUACAACUCAAGAAAAUCCAUCAACAAACAGACAUUGGAAAAGCCUUCUUCGUAUUCGUAGCAGAUGGAAAAUUACAAUUUUAAUAAUAAAUUUUUUAAUUUUAUGCUUGCUAAUUGCAUUGCUCAUAUGUUAUUUGGAAGGAGUAUCCAGAAAUGUACAGCAAAUUAAUACAACAAUUGAACACACCGGAAAAUGUCAACCAUUGCGCCUGCCUUUAUGCCAUAAAUAUAAAGUACCAUAUUCUUAUACUUUGAUACCUAAUUUACUUGGACAUAAUAGUCAAAUAGAAAUCACAGAAGCUAUUAAUCGCUACGAUCCACUUAUAAGUGUCAAAUGUUAUGUUUUGUUACCGCUAUUUUUAUGCACUAUAUAUGCACCUAAGUGCAUCCGUACUGGACAGACUGUGCCUCCUUGUAGAAGCCUUUGUCAAGAAACUAUGAGAAAAUGCGAUUUUUUCCUCGGAGUUUUUACUUUAUCGUGGCCAAUGAAUAUUGAUUGUUCUUCAUUACCAGAAAGUCCUGAUCCAGAGAUCUGUAUUGGACAUCAGGAAAAUUACUAUGUUCAGAAAAGUAUUCAUGAUUGUACCAAUGGCUUCCGUUGUGAUCAAACAAGAUGUUUACCAAAGACUUGGAUUUGUGAUGGAUAUCUUGAUUGUGAAGAUACGACUGAUGAACAGAAUUGCGACAAUUGUUCUCCGGGAGAUUACUAUUGUGGAAAAAAUGUAUGUCUAAACAGUUCGUCUAUUUGUGAUGGGAAAGAAGACUGCGAAGAUGGAAGAGAUGAGAGGCAAUGCCUGCGUUUAAAUCAAAAUGCGGAUGUUGAAAAUGAAGGAAAAUUAGAAGUUUAUAACAGGGAAACAAAUUCGUGGAUCCCGAUUUGUGGAAAAGAUUGGGAUUCAUCUAAUAUGAGUUAUGCGGCUUGUCAUAUAUUAGGAUAUAAAGAUGUGAAAGAAACGAGAAUUCGUGAUGAAAAUGAAAAAGCAUAUAAGGAAAUAGCUCCUAAAACACCGGGAGAUGUUAAAGAAAUGCAAACAAUACUUAAAAAAUCUAAAAAGAAAUGCGAUGGAGAUAAUGUAACCAUAUAUUUAAAAUGCCAAAACUAUGAAUGUGGUGUAUCUCUGGCACCAGCCAAACCUACUCCAAGAAUUGUAGGUGGUAAGGAAUCUGCUCCAGGGAGUUGGCCCUGGCUAGCAGCCUUACACGGAGGUCCUGAUGAAGUGUUCUUUUGUGGAGGAGUGCUUAUUUCACCUUGGUGGGUUUUGUCUGCUGCUCACUGCGUUGGAAAUCAAACUGAUCCUGGAGGUUGGACAAUAAAACUUGGAAUGACAAGAAGAACAUCUUCCUCCUUUUUCAUUCAAAAACGAGGAGUUUCGUUAAUCAUUAAACAUCCUGAUUUUAAGACCUUUAGUUUGUUUAAUAACGAUUUAGUUUUAUUAUUGUUGAAUCAACCAGUCAACUUUGAUCAAUUUCUACGACCUAUUUGUCUCCCUAAACCGAAUAUAUCAUUAGUUGGUUAUAAAUCAUGUAUUGUAACAGGAUGGGGUAAACCAUUACAUGACGAUGAUGCUGAUUACCAAGUUGUUAUUCAUCAAGUUGAAGUACCAAUCGUUGAUUUCGAGACAUGUGUUAACUGGUAUUCCAUUCAUGAUGUUCAUAUAUCAGAAAAAAUGGUUUGCGCAGGCCACCGUGAAGGAAAGAAAGAUGCUUGUCAGGGUGAUAGUGGUGGACCUCUUCUAUGCUGGAAUUCCAAUCAUUGGUUUGUCGCUGGCAUCGUAAGUUGGGGUAUUAAAUGUGCUCAACCGAAUUUGCCAGGAAUAUAUACGAAUGUACCAUUAUACGUUGACUGGAUACUCGCUACAACAGCUUUAUAUGGACAUCCCUUACAGACAUUUUAAAUCGUGGCAAUUCUGUUUCUAUACCAUAAAUAUUAGUGAAAAUUAUUCGUGUAUUAAUUUUAAGAUUUGCUACAUCGUGAAACAGCUGAAACAUUAUUUCCAACGUCGAACAACCGAAAAAAAUUGCUUUAGGAGAAAGCCACACAACUCGUCACCUUUUGAAGCGCAAUAUGCCAAAACCUCCGGUAACAUGACGGACAAAUUGCAUCAGAGACACUAAGCACCUCAACACAGAAUAGCCAUUCUAUAGUUAUACUUUUUUACUAUAUAUCUGAUAACGAUGCUGAAUUGUUGCCAGAUUAUUUUCAUUUUGCAAUUAGAAGAUAAAAAUUCUUAUUGGAAUGAGGGACACUUGGUGCAUAAUACAUAAUUUAAAAGAAAUGUUAUUAUACUAUUAUAAUGUGAUGACCGAGAAGAAAAAUAACGACAGGUGCAAUCUUAUGACAUCAAAGACUUGCCCUCCCUCCAUCCUAAACAAUCGUCAAAUACAACGAGUUCCUCUCUUCCAAAAACUACUGAUGUAAUACUUGAAUUCUCCCUAGACACUGAAUGGUAUUCGAAUAAAACAUUUUUACAAGAAUUUUU